GCCUCUAGCGGUGAACAACUUGUAUAAGAUUCUGGGAAUUGCCACUAGCAGUUCGUGCUGAAGAUGGAGCAGAUUUUCUCGAAGGACACAGCUGCCAACAUUUGAUGGUAACUGCUGUGAAAGUCAACUGUGCAAAAAAAAAAAAUAAAAAAAUAGUAAUGCAUACCUCAACAGGAAAACGCAUUACUAAUCAAGGAAAGUUCAUAUCUGGCAGAAUAGCAUCUUAUAUCUAUGUAAAGAGAUCAAUAAUCUAUAGUAAAAUCUGUCAGCACUGAAGAAUGUGGAAUCAUUUCUUUGUACAGGAUAAAAGAUAUUGAAUAAAUAUUCAGUAACGCCAUCCAGAUUUGGUGAAUACAAUGGCUCCUCACAUGAACCAUUAAACCAAGUUAGGCACACACAAAGUUGUCUUACAAUGAAAGGUUCAGUUAAAAAUUAUUAAAAACUUGUCAAAGACAUUAAAGAUAGAAUUGAUCCUAUUGCAAGUUUAGUUUGAAAAUGGUUACAAAGUCCCAAACUAAGUUUCAGCUGUGAUUGGCAAUAAAUAUUUUGAUUGAAUUCA